rnacentral:lncRNA from 1 species
GCUUCAUCGCUGUCUCCACUUCUGGCUUAACCUUGUCAACGCUAUCUAUGAUUCCGGCUUCAUCAUGUCUCCGCUUCCAGCCAAUCUCUCAUUCCUCACAUCAGAUCUUGAAUCGAUGGUGGAGAAAACUCCAUCUUCUUCAUGAAUCUGCAUCUGGACAAGAAGAAGCUUUGAUAAGAGAAUAGAUAAAAAGAGUGGUUGAGACAGAUUUCGUGGUGAUGGUUGAAACAGAGUUCAUUAGCGGAGAUAGAUAACGAGGAGGUGGAGAUUAAGAUGAUGGUGGCAGCGGCGGAGGUUAUGGUGAUGGUGGCUGAGUC